UGGGGAAUCUUGCGCAAUGGGCGAAAGCCUGACGCAGCAACGCCGCGUGAGGGAAGAAGGCCUUCGGGUUGUAAACCUCUUUCAGGAGGGACGAAGCCACCAGGGUUAAUAGCCUAUGGGGUGACGGUACCUUCAGAAGAAGCCCCGGCUAACUACGUGCCAGCAGCCGCGGUAAUACGUAGGGGGCAAGCGUUGUCCGGAAUCAUUGGGCGUCAAGCGCGUGUAGGCGGCGUGGUAAGGCUGGCGUGA
rnacentral:rRNA from 1 species